UACGUAGGGUGCAAGCGUUGUCCGGAAUUAUUGGGCGUAAAGAGCUCGUAGGCGGUCUGUCGCGUCUGCUGUGAAAACUCAGGGCUUAACCCUGAGCUUGCAGUGGGUACGGGCAGACUAGAGUGCGGUAGGGGGAGACUGGAAUUCCUGGUGUAGCGGUGGAAUGCGCAGAUAUCAGGAGGAACACCGGUGGCGAAGGCGGGUCUCUGGGCCGAUAUUGACGUGAGGAGCGAAAGCGUGGGGAGCGAACAGG
rnacentral:rRNA from 1 species